AAAAAAAAAACGCCUUUUCACGUGAUGUCCCUUUAAAAGGAAGAGUAAAGUUCAACACUUAUAUUCAACCGAUACCUGGACUUGCGGAUACGGACAUGGACCUUAUCAGUAGCACCUGCUUUGUUACCGGCUGGAGGUUUAUAAAGGACUCUCCAAGCCCGCCAAAAUACUGCAGCAACUUGAAACACCGGUAGUGACAAAUGCUCAGUGCGAGGCCAGCCUCAGUCCCUAUCCUGUCUCGGACGAUAUGAUUUGUACCGACUCGGAACCGAAGGGGGCUUGUUUUGGUGACAGCGGCGGUCCUCUGCAGUGCUCUGUUAACGGGAGCUGGAUACAGGCGGGAGUUGUUUCAUGGGGAACCGAAACCUGCAGGAACGGAGCCACCGCCUAUAGCAGGACCUCUUACCAUAGGGAUUGGAUCAUCGCUAACAUGUAGACAAUCCAUUAGUACCAUUACCGUGUUACAAAACCUCCACUACAUCGGUUGCCCUUCGUAUUGACACCACGAUGUUUUCAAACAAUCCAAACGACCAAACAAAUCCAUCAGGAACUGUGUACACAAAAUAUAUUUCAUGUUGACAACACUAAUGGUGAUACAGGAAGAAAUAAUAUGAACAUUUUAAGAAGUAACAGUAAUGCCGACAUAAUAUAAGCUAGGUGCCGCCAGACAGCACUAUUACUGGCUGACGUGAACUUCAUUGGUGUUGAUAUAUUAUUUAUGUAGCUCGUUGACAAAUUUUGUAGAGACAUGAUUAUAUUUUAUAUACAUAUCAUAUAUAUAAUAAUAUAUAAACAGUAUGUU